UAAGCUCNUAGUUGAAAUUGUGUCCUGCGGUGUCGGUCUACCGAUUGCGGUACGACAGGCACGUCUGCGGGGCUUCUCGCCGGUGCGUCCACCGCCGGCGUGCGUCGGUCGGCUUCGCGGUCGGCCGCGCACCGAGGCGGGCCGUCGCGGCUGUUUACUUUGAACAAAUUAGAGUGCUCAAAGCGGGCUAACACUUGCCUGAAUAUUGUACGCAUGGAAUAAUAGAAUAGGACCUCGGUUCUGUUUUGUUGGCUUUCUGAUACCAGAGGUAAUGAUUAAUAGGGACAACUGGGGGCAUUCGUAUUGCGACGUUAGAGGUGAAAUUCUUGGAUCGUCGCAAGACGGACUAAAGCGAAAGCAUUUGCCAAAGGUGUUUUCAUUAAUCAAGAACGAAAGUUAGAGGUUCGAAGGCGAUUAGAUACCGCUGUAGUUCUAACCAUAAAUGAUGCCAGCCAGCGAUCCGCCGAAGUUUCAUAAUUUUAACCCGGUGGGCAGCUCCCGGGAAACCAAAGCUUUCGGGCUCGGGGGAGUAUGGU
rnacentral:rRNA from 1 species